UGCGGAGUCGGGGCCGUGGGGGGCGGGGCUUGCCGUGUUCCACGGGCCGGCCAGGUGCUUC
ensembl:miRNA